rnacentral:tRNA from 1 species
AUCUGUAGCUCAGAGGUCAGAGCAGCGGUUUCCGGUACCGCAGAUCGGGGGUUCGAAUCCUUCCAGAU